GGAAGUGCACCCAAUGAAGCCAGAAGGAGGGGCAAUGAAGGUAAUUACUUUAUGAGGUUCGAGCGCGCGCUGCUCGAGUACGGCCCCGACGAGCCUGACCGCUGGGACCGCAUUGCCGCCACCGUCGGCGAAGGAAAGACGGCUAGCGACUUGAAGCGAUUAUACGACGAGCUCAUCGAGGACAUUCACAUCAUCGACGAGUCCAACCACAACCGCGUCGGCACCAACAGACUGCUCAUCAUAAUCCUGUUGGUGGUGCUGUUUUCGUUUCUCUGUCAGUUAGUUAUGUUGAAGUUGAGAGCUGAAUAAACUUGGCAGCGUUACUCUAAACGGAGCAGAAAAACUGCAUCUUGGGAUGACUCGAGUAAUAAUGCGUCAAUGUCGACAUAAUCUGGGCACCAGUCAUGUGUGUGUCAGAUGUAUGUAUGUACAAGGCAGUGUGCCUGUAGUCUGUAUUUGCCACGUAAUGAUUUGAAAGCUGCAUCCAA